rnacentral:rRNA from 1 species
UACAGAGGGGGCAAGCGUUGUUCGGAAUUACUGGGCGUAAAGGGCGCGUAGGCGGCCUGUUAAGUCGAACGUGAAAUCCCCGGGCUCAACCCGGGAACUGCGUCCGAUACUGGCAGGCUUGAAUUCGGGAGAGGGAUGUGGAAUUCCUGGUGUAGCGGUGAAAUGCGCAGAUAUCAGGAGGAACACCGGUGGCGAAGGCGGGUCUCUGGGCCGUAACUGACGCUGAGGAGCGAAAGCAUGGGGAGCGAACAGG